rnacentral:lncRNA from 1 species
CUCAGCGUUUCUAAUUUCGACUGGUAAAUUGUUCCAUAAUUCGGCACCCCUGUAACCUUUUACUCUUUUUUAUUUAAUAUUUAAUAUUCCGUUUUAGGAAGAAGGAAGAUUUAGCUUCAUGUCAAAAGUCUGAUAACUGAAGCACUGGAAAAUAUUUCUGAACAAACUCCAUGAGCCGACAUCUUCACUCCUGCAUCGGUUUUCAAAACACCCAAAAAAUUAUUAAUAAUAUAUUAAUAAUAUAAGUAGCUAUUUUUAACAUGUGAAAUUUAUUGCCUCAGCCUUUUGAUUGGUAGGAUGCUA